AGUGUUUCCGCGCGUCUACGUGAGAGGAAGGUUGAUGGCUUUCAGGCCCGCUGGUAAAUGGAACGGGUUUAUCUUCUCCUCUUCUUUACCCAGCCAUUGUCCACACUUCCCCCGACCCGAUGGGUGGUCGAGGCUUGUAGAACUGAUCUUAAGACAGGGAAAUCCCUUGCGUCUCCAUUCACUUUGGGAUUCUGUGUCUCUGAGGUUAGAGAUGCCUCAAAGGGAUGUUCUCCGGGGGACCUUCCCAAAUCCGCGCUUAGCGGUGGCGAAGGGACUUCUUCCACACAGACUUCUCAAGGGCCAGCCGGCUGGUUUCUGCCGGCUCUUUCGCCAUCCACGAUUCUUUUGAUGUUCUCUUUUAUGUGCUGAUGUAUGAUUAUAUGUCAGAAAACCCGGUUCAAUGGAAAAACUAUAAAAAAAGGAUAAUUUAGUAAAAUAGCAAGAUAUAAAGUUAACACACUAAAAUCAACGACCUUCAUAUAUGUGAAUAAUCAAUGAUAACGAGUUACGAGAUAUAAUGGAAGAGAAGACCAUAUUUACAAGAGCAGCAAAAAAGUGAAACUAGGAAUAAACUUAACAAGAAAUGAACAAAACUUCUAUGGGGAAAGCUUUAAAACAUUCCUAAAAGGCCAAGUAUACAUUUAAACAAACAGAAAGCGAUAUGAGGUUCUUGGAAAGACUCAAAGAGAACAAUUGCUCUUGAAGUCCUGAGCCACCAUGGAAGAAGUCUGCCAACCCUGCUUUCCAGUGACUGAGUUGCAAGAAUCCUUCAAGAUGCCAAAAAGAUGACCCCAAAGUGAGCUUUGUGUGUCUCCGAGACCACAUAAAGAAGCUCUGAGACCACAUGGAGAAGAUCAGCCCGGCUAAGCCCACUUUUCUGGCUGUCCCUGCCAAGGCACUUGGCAUGGCAGUGAAGCUGUCUUGGAUUUUCCAGACAAAUUAUACUGCCAGAUGAAUACCAGCAUGUGAUCUUAGUUGACACCACAUGAAACAGAAGAAUUUCUCAGCUAAGUCCUCCCCAAAUUCCUGGCCCAAAACAUGAUGGUGUGUUUUUGUCCACUGUUUUGGAGUAACUAUUUAUGCAGCAAUAGAUAACAAGAUCAGAUGUUUACCAGAUUGUAACAGUUUGAUUAGACUAUUUCCUAAGAAUAUUAACUUUCCUUCGUUUCAAUGACAUAGUCAACAUGCAAUUUUCAAUUUGUAGUUGAUAUUUAAAUUUCCAGUUAGGAAAAAGCUUGAUGUUGAGGACUUGCACUAAAUUUUAGGCCAGGUAUAGCUCCAAUUUUUAUGGAAAUUAUUAUGUAUACAGUAUAAGGUAAUUUUUUAUAGGCUAUAGUUAACAAUUUCUUUUUUAUCUUUUUUUAUUAUUUAUUUAUUUUUUAUUAUACUUUAAGUUCUAGGGUACAUGUGCACAACGUGCAGGUUUGUUACAUAUGUAUACAUGUGCCAUGUUGGUUUGCUGCACCCACUAAUUCAUCAUUUACAUUAGGUAUUUCUCCUAAUGCUUUCCCCUAUCCCCCCACCCCACGACAGGCCCCGGUGUGUGAUGUACCCCGCCCUGUGUCCAAGUGUUCUCGUUGUUCAGUUCCCACCUAUGAGUGAGAACAUGUGGUGUUUGAUUUUCUGUCCUUGCCAUAGUUUGCUCAGAAUGAUGGUUUCCUGCUUCAUCCA
rnacentral:lncRNA from 1 species